AGCGAACGCUGGCGGCAGGCCUAACACAUGCAAGUCGAACGAACUCUUCGGAGUUAGUGGCGGACGGGUGAGUAACACGUGGGAACGUGCCUUUCGGUUCGGAAUAACUCAGGGAAACUUGUGCUAAUACCGAAUGUGCCCUUCGGGGGAAAGAUUUAUCGCCAUUAGAGCGGCCCGCGUCUGAUUAGCUAGUUGGUGAGGUAACGGCUCACCAAGGCGACGAUCAGUAGCUGGUCUGAGAGGAUGACCAGCCACACUGGGACUGAGACACGGCCCAGACUCCUACGGGAGGCAGCAGUGGGGAAUCUUGCGCAAUGGGCGAAAGCCUGACGCAGCCAUGCCGCGUGAAUGAUGAAGGUCUUAGGAUUGUAAAAUUCUUUCACCGGGGACGAUAAUGACGGUACCCGGAGAAGAAGCCCCGGCUAACUUCGUG
rnacentral:rRNA from 1 species